rnacentral:rRNA from 1 species
CACGUAGGGGGCAAGCGUUGUCCGGAUUUAUUGGGCGUAAAGAGCUCGUAGGUGGCUUAGUAAGUCGGGUGUGAAACCUCCAGGCUCAACCUGGAGACGCCACCCGAUACUGCUAUAGCUUGAGUCCGGUAGGGGAGCGUGGAAUUCCUGGUGUAGCGGUGAAAUGCGCAGAUAUCAGGAGGAACACCAGCGGCGAAGGCGGCGCUCUGGGCCGGUACUGACACUGAGGAGCGAAAGUGUGGGGAGCGAACAGG